GUGCGAUGUUGUGCCACGACAUGGAAUUAGCAGUGCUCAAUGGAGAAUGUUGGUUAAGUAUUGGGCUUCGGAUGAAGGGCAAAAACUUUCAGAAUAUGGAAAGGCUGCACGGGCCGCUCAAAAUCAAUUUCAUAGAUCUGGUUGUAACAGCUAUGCGAAUCAACAAGCUGAUUAUGAAGACGAGCAUGGAAAAAAAAUGAGCUUAUUAGCCCUUUGGAUAAAGUCUCAUUCCGGCAAGGACGGGACCUUUCUUCCAG